ensembl:lncRNA
GAAUCAGAGUUUGUGCGAGGUGAGGUUUGACUACAGUUGGCCAGUUAGCUUACCAGAUACCACAUUCACUUCUUGUACACAAAACAUCUUGUACAUAAAACAUCUGCAGCUACUCCAUGUUUUUGCAUUUUCUCUCAGGCUCUGAGCAAGGCAGCAAUGCGAGGAUUCAGCAGUUUGUUAGUGCUGUAUCAGGCAGUGGACUGGGUAGCUAUAUUCAGAAACUCUCAGAGGAAGAGAAAGUCGAGUUGGGUCAGCGCUACUUGACCGAUUAUGUCCUUCUGUCAUUCAAAAUCCACUGUGAGGAAGAGCAUGGGGUCUUUCGUAGUGCAGUGCUGGGUUGUGUGUUUGCUCUGCAGAUGGAGAUGUCAGUAACUCAUGAGCUCUCUCCAUCAUGGAUACUUGCCGCAGCUCAAAUCUACAGCCCUCGCCUGGACACAUUAUCCCAUGCCCUUCAGAUCAACCCUCAACUGGUCCACAUUAUCCAACGAGAAAGAUUAAAGAGAGAAAGCCCUGAUAUGUGUGAGGACAUUCUGGCUGUUGGUAUCUGUGUUGAAGAAACAAAGCUCCUGCCGGUAUCAUCAAGAAGUGAAUGCCAGACCUUCUUACAAAGAGUUGAGCAACUUCAGCCAUGUUUAGAGAGAAUGCUUAGUCCUGGCUACGGUAGCCAUGGCUGUCUCAAACACCUGGACACUAUAAAGUGAGCUAUGAAGAAUGUUGCAGAUUUAGAAAAUAGGAUCAUUUGAAAACAUUGAUUUCAUAUUAACAAAGUGGUCAUAUCACAUCAUUUCUUAAAUAAAAUCUUUUAUUUCCUUAGGUCA